CUCAGCCUGCAUCAUAAUCCCCUUAUCCAGUCUAGCAAUUCCCCCCGUUUCUGGAUGUACCCCUAAACGUAGGGGUACCCCUUUAAAUCCUACAUCCCCUGAUAGCCCUGAUCUGGGUGAGCAACAUAUCCAAAAAUCACCCAGAUCAGACCAGGGGUUCGGGAAAUGUAUGGAGGGAAUAAAAUGACCGACCGCACUGACUGAGAU